rnacentral:rRNA from 1 species
GACGAACGCUGGCGGCGUGCUUAACACAUGCAAGUCGAACGGAAAGGCCCUGCUUUUGUGGGGUGCUCGAGUGGCGAACGGGUGAGUAACACGUGAGUAACCUGCCCUUGACUUUGGGAUAACUUCAGGAAACUGGGGCUAAUACCGGAUAGGGGCUCCUGCUGCAUGGUGGGGGUUGGAAAGUUUCGGAGGUUGGGGAUGGACUCGCGGCUUAUCAGCUUGUUGGUGGGGUAGUGGCUUACCAAGGCUUUGACGGGUAGCCGGCCUGAGAGGGUGACCGGCCACAUUGGGACUGAGAUACGGCCCAGACUCCUACGGGAGGCAGCAGUGGGGAAUAUUGCACAAUGGGCGGAAGCCUGAUGCAGCAACGCCGCGUGCGGGAUGACGGCCUUCGGGUUGUAAACCGCUUUCGCCUGUGACGAAGCGUGAGUGACGGUAAUGGGUAAAGAAGCACCGGCUAACUACGUG